rnacentral:rRNA from 1 species
CUACGGAGGGUGCAAGCGUUAUUCGGAAUCACUGGGCGUAAAGGACGCGUAGGCGGGUUGGCAAGUCAGAUGUGAAAUCCUGCAGCUUAACUGUAGAACUGCAUUUGAAACUGCUAACCUAGAGUAUGGGAGGGGGAGAUGGAAUUAGUGGUGUAGGGGUAAAAUCCGUAGAUAUCACUAGGAAUACCGAAAGCGAAGGCGAUCUCCUGGAACAUAACUGACGCUAAGGCGUGAAAGCGUGGGGAGCAAACAGGAUUAGAUACCCCAGUAGUCC